GAUUAUGGCUCAGGAUGAACGCUAGCUACAGGCUUAACACAUGCAAGGUCGAGGGGCAGCAUGAUCGAAGCUUGCUUGAUGAUGGCGACCGGCGCACGGGUGAGUAACGCGUAUCCAACCUUCCCUAUAGUAGAGAAUAGCCCGGCGAAAGUCGGAUUAAUGCUCUAUGUUGUAUUUAGAGGACAUCUGAAGAAUACCAAAGGUUUACCGCUAUAGGAUGGGGAUGCGUCUGAUUAGGUAGUAGGCGGGGUAACGGCCCACCUAGCCGACGAUCAGUAGGGGUUCUGAGAGGAAGGUCCCCCACAUUGGAACUGAGACACGGUCCAAACUCCUACGGGAGGCAGCAGUGAGGAAUAUUGGUCAAUGGACGGAAGUCUGAACCAGCCAAAGUAGCGUGCAGGAUGACGGCCUUAUGGGUUGUAAACUGCUUUUAUAUAGGGAUAAAGUCGGGGACGUGUCCCCGUUUGUAGGUACUAUAUGAAUAAGGACCGGCUAAUUCCGUGCCAGCCGCCGC
rnacentral:rRNA from 1 species